GAUGAACGCUGGCGGCGUGCUUAACACAUGCAAGUCGAACGAAGCACUUUAUUUGAUUUUUUCGGAAUGAAGAUUUUGUGACUGAGUGGCGGACGGGUGAGUAACGCGUGGGUAACCUGCCUCAUACAGGGGGAUAACAGUUGGAAACGACUGCUAAUACCGCAUAAGCGCACAGGGUCGCAUGACCUGGUGUGAAAAACUCCGGUGGUAUGAGAUGGACCCGCGUCUGAUUAGCCAGUUGGUGGGGUAACGGCCUACCAAAGCGACGAUCAGUAGCCGACCUGAGAGGGUGACCGGCCACAUUGGGACUGAGACACGGCCCAAACUCCUACGGGAGGCAGCAGUGGGGAAUAUUGCACAAUGGGGGAAACCCUGAUGCAGCGACGCCGCGUGAGCGGGGAAGUAUUUCAGUAUGUAAAGCUCUAUCAGCAGGGAAGAAGAAAUGACGG
rnacentral:rRNA from 1 species